ACCCAGGGUUAGGGGCGUUACCAGACCAACAACACCCAGGGUUAGGGGCGUUACCAGACCAAAAACACCCAGGGUUAGGGGCGUUACCAGACCAAACACACCCAGGGUUAGGGGCGUUACCAGACCAACAACACCCAGGGUUAGGGGCGUUACCAGACCAAACACACCCAGGGUUAGGGGCGUUACCAGACCAAACACACCCAGGGUUAGGGGCGUUACCAGAACGACAACACCCAGGGUUAGGGGCGUUACCAGACCAACAACACCCAGGGUUAGGGGCGUUACCAGACCAACAACACCCAGGGUUAGGGGCGUUACCAGAACGACAACACCCAGGGUUAGGGGCGUUACCAGACCAAACACACCCAGGGUUAGGGGCGUUACCAGAACAACAACACCCAGGGUUAGGGGCGUUACCAGACCAACAACACCCAGGGUUAGGGGUAUUACCAGACCAAACACACCCAGGGUUAGGGGCGUUACCAGACCAACAACACCCAGGGUUAGGGGCGUUACCAGACCAACAACACCCAGGGUUAGGGGCGUUACCAGACCAAACACACCCAGGGUUAGGGGCGUUACCAGA